GAACAGUUAAUUGCUAUUUUACCUCCCAGUGAUUGUGGAGCCAUUCGCAUGGUUCAGACGAAUCCCUUUGUACUCAGGUUAGGCGGCCGCCAUUUUGGGACUUUACACGUGUUCGCGGCCAUCUUACGCACGAACGGCGGUGUUUGCCUGUGAACGCAUGGAACUAAAAACGGAUACGCAAACAGGCGAACACCGCUGAGACCUCCAGGAGCUCGUAAGUUCGUGCUGUAGUUUUGUUUAAGCAUGAAUGGGGAUUCAGGCGAACAUCAGGAUUACUGUGGAUGGCAAGGGGUUUGUGGAGUUUUUAUGCACGAAUGGAGACCGACCGCAAGGCCAAAACUUAUGGAACUCUUUUCGGCUGAAAAACCUGUGCGGUCGGUCAAAACUUCAAAGACCCAUAACUCCCGAACCCCUCAACCGAAUGACUUGAAAUUUGGAUAUGUUGUUCCCCUGAGUGAGAGCUAUUAAGCGGACUUAAAGGUGUACCCCCUGUUUUUGGGGUACAUCCAGAAUGUAGUUAAAAUUGUG